rnacentral:lncRNA from 1 species
AGCAAAAAGUGGACAAUCUUAUUUCAGUAGUGCAGAAUAUCAGAUAAGAUAUUUAUAAUUUAGUCUGUCAUAUCAAAGAAUUAGAGAGAUAUUUAUCUCAUAUAGAUAUGCAACAUCAGUUAGGUGAGAUUAUCUACACUAUUAGAGUGCUUCAAAUUGUAAUACAGAGAGAAUCAGGUGAAAUAGAAAGGUAAAAUAUUCUCUCUACUAGAUUGACUAUAGUUUUACAAAAUAUUAUCUGGAUCGGACAGCAGAUGAAUAUUCUUAUUUUAAAUCUUUCAAAUGAUCAAUCCAGUCAGCCUCCCAGUC